rnacentral:rRNA from 1 species
AUUGAACGCUGGCGGCAUGCCUUACACAUGCAAGUCGAACGCCUCAGCAAUGGGGAGUGGCAGACGGGUGAGUAACACGUGGGAACGUACCCUUCGGUUCGGAAUAACUCAGGGAAACUUGAGCUAAUACCGGAUACGUCCGAGAGGAGAAAGAUUUAUCGCCGAAGGAGCGGCCCGCGUCUGAUUAGCUUGUUGUUGAGGUAACGGCUCACCAAGGGGACGAUCAGUCGCUGGUCUGAGAGGAUGAUCAGCCACAUUGGGACUGAGACACGGCCCAAACUCCUACGGGAGGCAGCAGUGGGGAAUAUUGGACAAUGGGCGAAAGCCUGAUCCAGCCAUGCCGCGUGAGUGAUGAAGGCCUUAGGGUUGUAAAGCUCUUUUACCUGGGAAGAUAAUGACGGUACCAGGAGAAUAAGCCCCGGCUAACUUCGUGCCAGCCGCCGCGGUAA